rnacentral:tRNA from 1 species
GGAUUGUGGCUCAGCGAUGGAGCGCUUGCCUAGCAUGUGUGAGGCCCUGGGUUCGAUCCUCAGCACCA